rnacentral:rRNA from 1 species
GACGAACGCUGGCGGCGUGCUUAACACAUGCAAGUCGAACGGAAAGGCCCUGCUUUUGUGGGGUGCUCGAGUGGCGAACGGGUGAGUAACACGUGAGUAACCUGCCCUUGACUUUGGGAUAACUUCAGGAAACUGGGGCUAAUACCGGAUAGGAGCUCCUGCUGCAUGGUGGGGGUUGGAAAGUUUCGGCGGUUGGGGAUGGACUCGCGGCUUAUCAGCUUGUUGGUGGGGUAGUGGCUUACCAAGGCUUUGACGGGUAGCCGGCCUGAGAGGGUGACCGGCCACAUUGGGACUGAGAUACGGCCCAGACUCCUACGGGAGGCAGCAGUGGGGAAUAUUGCACAAUGGGCGGAAGCCUGAUGCAGCAACGCCGCGUGCGGGAUGACGGCCUUCGGGUUGUAAACCGCUUUCGCCUGUGACGAAGCGUGAGUGACGGUAAUGGGUAAAGAAGCACCGGCUAACUACGUGCCAGCAGCCGCGGUGAUACGUAGGGUGCGAGCGUUGUCCGGAUUUAUUGGGCGUAAAGGGCUCGUAGGUGGUUGAUCGCGUCGGAAGUGUAAUCUUGGGGCUUAACCCUGAGCGUGCUUUCGAUACGGGUUGACUUGAGGAAGGUAGGGGAGAAUGGAAUUCCUGGUGGAGCGGUGGAAUGCGCAGAUAUCAGGAGGAACACCAGUGGCGAAGGCGGUUCUCUGGGCCUUUCCUGACGCUGAGGAGCGAAAGCGUGGGGAGCGAACAGGCUUAGAUACCCUGGUAGUCCACGCUGUAAACGGUGGGUACUAGGUGUGGGGUCCAUUCCACGGGUUCCGUGCCGUAGCUAACGCUUUAAGUACCCCGCCUGGGGAGUACGGCCGCAAGGCUAAAACUCAAAGGAAUUGACGGGGCCCCGCACAAGCGGCGGAGCAUGCGGAUUAAUUCGAUGCAACGCGUAGAACCUUACCUGGGUUUGACAUGGAUCGGGAGUGCUCAGAGAUGGGUGUGCCUCUUUUGGGGUCGGUUCACAGGUGGUGCAUGGCUGUCGUCAGCUCGUGUCGUGAGAUGUUGGGUUAAGUCCCGCAACGAGCGCAACCCUUGUUCACUGUUGCCAGCACGUUAUGGUGGGGACUCAGUGGAGACCGCCGGGGUCAACUCGGAGGAAGGUGGGGAUGACGUCAAGUCAUCAUGCCCCUUAUGUCCAGGGCUUCACGCAUGCUACAAUGGCUGGUACAGAGAGUGGCGAGCCUGUGAGGGUGAGCGAAUCUCGGAAAGCCGGUCUCAGUUCGGAUUGGGGUCCGCAACUCGACCUCAUGAAGUCGGAGUCGCUAGUAAUCGCAGAUCAGCAACGCUGCGGUGAAUACGUUCCCGGGGGCU